rnacentral:lncRNA from 1 species
UCUCUUCUUACAUCAAGGAUUGUAACUGGAGUUAUAGAUCAAGAUGGGAACCUCGUCCAUGUUGUUAACACAAUCAUAGAUCUCGCUACGACCCCUCAGCUGUGCUUCCCUCCCUGUGCCUCGGGAGUAUUUUAUCAUGCAGUCUUAUGUGUUUAUAUCUUAUACAUAUUUUGUGAUUCUAUGUGGCAAUUAACCAUCUUCUUAUGACUGUGAGGAUUUUGGAUCCUAACUAAUGGAAAAAAAUCAUAGUUUCAAACCCCUUCCGAUAUAAAGGCUCCUGUUUAGUGGUUGAUAAAUAGUAAGUACAAGAGCCCAAUGGAUUUGUAGAGUUAUCCAAGGUAACUGGAAGUUAUGGAUAUCGCUGCAAGACAUUUACAUUCUUUUUAGAUUGAUUUAAUUCGGAGAUUUAAAUAUUAUGUAUUUCAAUACAUUUUUAUUGCAGAAAAUUAGUAUUCUAUCUAUAUCUUUGUAUAUAUAAUAAAUAUAUUAUGA